GAGUGUCUCUGCCCGGCCGCCCAUCGUCUGAGAUGUGGGGAGCGCCUCUGCCCCGCCGCCCCGUCUGGGAUGUGAGGAGCGCCUCUGCCCUGCCGUGACCCCGUCUGGGAGCUAAAAUUCAAGUAAUGGACUAUUUGGAUGAUAGCGUGCCCGGAAUUGGUUCCUUCCGAUAUUCUUGGUCUCGCUGACUUUAACAAUGAAGCCUCAGACCAUUGCGCACAGUCCAGUGUUAAGACAGGGCAUGAGGACCAGCUCCACUGGAAACACCAGCCAGCGUCUUAACCGGGGAGGAAGGAAGGUGUGUGCUGGGCAAGUGGGGCAUGUGACAAAGUGGAACUGAAGUGGCCGUCGCUUGCCUUUAGGCCAGCAGGUUCCUCAGCAGCCUUUGCUCAUAGGCUGGCUUAACUAUGAUCCUGCUGUGGGAAGAUAAAAAAACUGACCGAAGGAGAUAGGCUGAGUAAUGGCUCCCUCAAGAUGUCCAUAUUUCAUCCCUGGAACCUGUGAAUACAUUUCUUUAUGUGGCAAAAGGGACUUUGUGGCUGUGAUUAAACUAAGAACCUUGAAAUGAGGAGAUUCUCCGGGAUCGUCCAGAUGCAUCAAAUGUAACAAGAAGGAGUCAGAGUCAGGCUGGAAGCCGCUAUGCUGCUGGCUUUGAAGG
rnacentral:lncRNA from 1 species